GGUGGAAAGCUCCAAAGGGAUCGCAUUGAUCUAAUGUUAAUGGAUUAAUUCCUCAAGGAAUUUAUGGGGUUAAAUAUUACAGCACAGAGAUAUAUAUUUGUGCUGAUAUUGAUUCAGUUCACUCUCAUUGGAUCAUGCGAUCCCUUCGGAAUUUUCCAU
rfam:Corchorus olitorius cultivar O-4 contig15442, whole genome shotgun sequence.